rnacentral:rRNA from 1 species
UGCGUAGGCGGUCGGGUAAGUCUGACGUGAAAUUCUGGAGCUCAACUCCGGAACUGCGUCGGAAACUAUUCGGCUAGAGGAUUGGAAGGGGACGUGGAAUUCUCGGUGUAGCAGUGAAAUGCGUAGAUAUCGAGAGGAACACCCGUGGCGAAGGCGAGUCCCUGGACAAUUCCUGACGCUGAGGCACGAAAGCUAGGGGAGCAAACA